AUGAACGCUAGCUACAGGCUUAACACAUGCAAGUCGAGGGGAAACGACAUCGAAAGCUUGCUUUUGAUGGGCGUCGACCGGCGCACGGGUGAGUAACGCGUAUCCAACCUGCCCACCACUUGGGGAUAACCUUGCGAAAGUAAGACUAAUACCCAAUGACGUCUCUAGAAGACAUCUGAAGGAGAUUAAAGAUUUAUCGGUGAUGGAUGGGGAUGCGUCUGAUUAGCUUGUUGGCGGGGUAACGGCCCACCAAGGCGACGAUCAGUAGGGGUUCUGAGAGGAAGGUCCCCCACAUUGGAACUGAGACACGGUCCAAACUCCUACGGGAGGCAGCAGUGAGGAAUAUUGGUCAAUGGACGAGAGUCUGAACCAGCCAAGUAGCGUGCAGGAUGACGGCCCUAUGGGUUGUAAACUGCUUUUAUAAGGGAAUAAAGUGAGUCUCGUGAGACUUUUUGCAUGUACCUUAUGAAUAAGGACCGGCUAAUUCCGUGCCAGCAGCCGCGGUAAUACGGAAGGUCCGGGCGUUAUCCGGAUUUAUUGGGUUUAAAGGGAGCGUAGGCCGGAGAUUAAGCGUGUUGUGAAAUGUAGACGCUCAACGUCUGCACUGCAGCGCGAACUGGUUUCCUUGAGUACGCACAAAGUGGGCGGAAUUCGUGGUGUAGCGGUGAAAUGCUUAGAUAUCACGAAGAACUCCGAUUGCGAAGGCAGCUCACUGGAGCGCAACUGACGCUGAAGCUCGAAAGUGCGGGUAUCGAACAGGAUUAGAUACCCUGGUAGUCCGCACGGUAAACGAUGGAUGCCCGCUGUUGGUCUGAAUAGGUCAGCGGCCAAGCGAAAGCAUUAAGCAUCCCACCUGGGGAGUACGCCGGCAACGGUGAAACUCAAAGGAAUUGACGGAAGGG
rnacentral:rRNA from 1 species